rnacentral:rRNA from 1 species
AUGAACGCUAGCGGCAGGCUUAACACAUGCAAGUCGAGGGGCAGCGUGGAGUAGCAAUACUCUGACGGCGACCGGCGGAAGGGUGCGUAACACGUGAGCGACUUGCCCGAUACGGGGAGAUAACCGGUGGAAACGCCGACUAAUAUCCCAUACGACUUGAGGCUGCAUGGCCUUGAGUUGAAAGGUUCGCCGGUAUCGGAUAGGCUCGCGGGACAUUAGCUUGAUGGCGGGGCAACGGCCCACCAUGGCGACGAUGUCUAGGGGUUCUGAGAGGAAGACCCCCCACACUGGGACUGAGACACGGCCCAGACUCCUACGGGAGGCAGCAGUGAGGAAUAUUGGUCAAUGGGCGGAAGCCUGAACCAGCCAUGCCGCGUGAAGGACUAAGGCCCUAUGGGUCGUAAACUUCUUUAGACGCAGAGCAAUAAGGGCCUCGUGAGGUCCGAUGAGAGUAUGCGUAGAAUAAGCAUCGGCUAACUCCGUGCCAGCAGCCGCGGUAAUACGGGGGAUGCGAGCGUUAUCCGGAUUUAUUGGGUUUAAAGGGUGCGUAGGCGGCGAAUUAAGUCAGCGGUGAAAGACCGGGGCUCAACCCUGGAAGUGCCGUUGAUACUGAUUGGCUAGAAUACCCUUGCCGUGGGAGGAAUGAGUGGUGUAGCGGUGAAAUGCAUAGAUAUCACUCAGAACACCGAUUGCGAAGGCAUCUCACGAAGGGGCGAUUGACGCUGAGGCACGAAAGCGUGGGGAUCGAACAGGAUUAGAUACCCUGGUAGUCCACGCAGUAAACGAUGAUGGCUAACUGUCGGGCCUGAGGGUUCGGCGGCCAAGCGAAAGCGAUAAGCCAUCCACCUGGGGAGUACGACCGCAAGGUUGCAACUCAAAU